rnacentral:rRNA from 1 species
GGGUCAGUAGGUUGGUCGUGCCACCGGUACGUACUGGUCUCACUGAUUCCUCCUUCCUGAAGAACCGUAAUGCCAUUAAUCUGGUGUUGCGGGGAAAAAGGACUGUUACUUUGAAAAAAUUAGAGUGUUUAAAGCAAGCUAACGCUUGAAUACAUUAGCAUGGAAUAAUGAAAUAGGACGAUCGAUCCUAUUUUGUUGGUUUCUAGGAUUGACGUA